UAACACGUAGGAGGCAAACGUUAUCCGGAUUUACUGGGCGUAAAGCGCGUGUAGGUGGUACUGUAAGUAGGGCGUGAAAGCUCCUGGCUCAACUGGGAGAGGCCGUUCUAAACUACAGAACUAGAGGAUGGUAGAGGGAGGUGGAAUUCCAGGUGUAGCGGUGGAAUGCGCAGAUAUCUGGAGGAACACCGGUGGCGAAGGCGGCCUCCUGGACCAUUCCUGACACUCAGACGCGAAAGCUAGGGUAGCAAACGGGAUUAGAGACCCCGGUAGUCCUAGCCCUAAACGAUGUAGACUAGGCGUCGGAAGUUUAAUCACUUUCGGUGUCCAAGCUAACGCGAUAAGUCUACCGCCUGGGGACUACGGCCGCAAGGUUAAAACUCAAAGGAAUUGACGGGUCCCCGCAC
rnacentral:rRNA from 1 species